rnacentral:lncRNA from 1 species
GCCGUUGGAUUCAAUAAAUCCUGAGAGACAUGCCCAUGUGGGUGGGGUCCUAUUGGUGGUGCCCACACCAUUUUUUGGGCUAAAUCUUGGAUGUAAUUUGACUUUUAUUUGACCUUUAGCUUUUGGACCACACAUUUAAUAUGGUUGAGUUGGAUUUGGGGAGGGAAUAAAACCUAAAAAAUAACAUUUAGCCUAGGGUUGAGUUUGGUCUUAUGGGGUACAUUUUCUUCUCGUAGGUAGAUUAUUUUCUUUGUAUGGGUAAAUUUUAUCUCGUUGGUGUAUUUCAUUGUAUUGGGGUCCAUUUUUUUCGUAUGAAAUCAAAAUUUGUUUUAAAUUCAAAUUCAAGGGAUCAUGUAGAUCUCUAAACAAGAGGAAAUGAAUAAUGGGACACUUUGGAUGCGGUCCCUAGCUAUCAAUAUUCUUUGAUUGAAACCUUGUUAGUUUUUAGUUUUUGAUUGAGGUCCCUGAUAUUAAUGUAAUAAUGUAAGUU